CCGGACGGAAGGAAGUCUACCUGUCUUCUUCGUGUCUACCUGGCUAAGACACCUCCUGGUUUUUUUUCCACGGACUCUCACCUGGUUCCCAUCCUGGCUAUGCUUUUGACGUGAGGCUUUCGCCUGUUUACGUUUGUUAAAAAAAAUCGUGACGGGACGGCAGAAACGUGGUUUGUGCACUUUUCUUAGUGAAAUUAGUGCAUUAAAUUAAUUUCAAUAGUGGAAAAAUUUCAUUUAAUUAAUAGUAAUGUCUAUCUCCCGCCUGCAAAAAUGCAGCUGCAUCAGCCUCCGGGUGAAGGAAGGAAGCGCAAUCAUCCGCUCUGGUAGAAUUGUUUACGUUUUUCAACACGAGCUGGAGCGAAGCGAUACAAUUUCUUGGAUUAUUCCUCGCCCAGAUUGUUGGAGUUUUAGGUGACGGAUACCAAACAAUCGGAAAUGCCAACCGAUCCAGCUUGUCAGUAGCGUAUGGCACGGAGGAAAGCAACGAUAUCGCCCCCGGAAGAUGUUGGCGGGACAAAUUAGCUAGCAGCGAGAAAAAUAAGUCAUUGCAGAUUAUUGUUCCGGAGCCCGAACUGCCUAGAUGCAACCCACCUCUGCGACGACCUUCCGGACAUAUUUUUUUAAUUGGUGUGUGCUAAGAGGUACAGUUGAUCUCAAAUCGAUCACUAUUUGGGAAAGCGACGGAAAUAAUAGACGGAGUCAAACGGACGGAAGCUUAAACAGCUAAUUAGCAGGAUCCACGGAUCGGAAUUGAAUAAUAUUAACGCCAGGGCAGUCUUCACGGUUGCCACGUAAGUAUUAUGAACUGUUUAUUAGUUGUAAAAUUUCAUCUGCUUUUCUUUGGCGUUACGUCCCAUCUGGGACAAAGCCUGUUCUUUGAGCGCAUCAAAAGUUUGCAACUGGGAGCUUUCUCUUGAAAUGGGCAUUUUGCUAUGUAUUUAAAGCUCUAAGCCCAAGAAAGUCGACAAGUUGUGAAACCCUUUAUUAAAAAGUAUUCCGAUCGGUCCAGGAAAUCGAUCAUUCUUCUUCUUCUUCUUGGUAUAAUGUCCUAACUGGGACAAAGCCUUCUUUUCAUCUUAGUGUUUAAUGAGCAAUUCAACCGUUAUUUGAAAAAAUCCUCCAAGAAAAUUUCCUUUUCGAAAAACUCGUAACUAUGUAUGUAGAUCGGUUAUCAAACUCGUCACCUGUUACUGGGAUUCCUCGACGUGGUUGAUAUCAUCCGCGAUGCCCAGGAGCAUAUGCGACCGCGUGCCAAUGGUUCCGCUCGUUUGCAUUCCAGCUCUCCUUAUCGCUCCUUCCAGUACUAUGUUGAACAGUAAGUUCGAAAGAUCGUCGCCCUGCUUUAGUUCGUCUAGGGCAGUAGUGGUCAAGUGGAAGCAUACCGCGGGCCAAAUUGAGAUUGUUCGACUAAGCCGCGAGUUGCAGAAUACAAAUCAUCAUCAACCUAAAUUAACUAUUAUAUUAUAAAUGUUCUAAUCUUUUCACAAUUUGAGAAUUGCAAAAGUACUUUUUGCACUUCAAUAGUUAAACCUCAAACAUAAAAAUAGACGAACCAGCCAAGGGCUGAAAGUCUCUUUAAUAAAUACAAAUCAAUCAAACAUUUUAAUUUGACCAUUAAAAAUCUUGUUGUUCAUCGCCAAUUAAUUAUAUAUUUGUAAAUUUUCAUUAAGCUUAAUUUUAUUAAAUUGAAGUAGCGAGCCAUUUGCCAUUUCCCAGAUGACUUGGAAUUUCU